GACGAACGCUGGCGGCGUGCUUAACACAUGCAAGUCGAACGGAAAGGCCCUGCUUUUGUGGGGUGCUCGAGUGGCGAACGGGUGAGUAACACGUGAGUAACCUGCCCUUGACUUUGGGAUAACUUCAGGAAACUGGGGCUAAUACCGGAUAGGAGCUCCUGCUGCAUGGUGGGGGUUGGAAAGUUUCGGCGGUUGGGGAUGGACUCGCGGCUUAUCAGCUUGUUGGUGGGGUAGUGGCUUACCAAGGCUUUGACGGGUAGCCGGCCUGAGAGGGUGACCGGCCACAUUGGGACUGAGGUACGGCCCAGACGCAUACGGGAGGCAGCAGUGGAGAAUAUUGCACAAUGGGCGGAAGCCGGAUGCAGCAACGCCGCGUGCGGGAUGACGGCCUUCGGGUUGUAAACCGCUUUCGCCUGUGACGAAGCGUGAGUGACGGUAAUGGGGAAAGAAGCACCGGCGAACUACGU
rnacentral:rRNA from 1 species